ACAAGGAAAUAGCUUAUCUUAGGAAUGGACUCGAAUGAGUAUCUCAGUGCUUCAGAUGAAGAUGAAGAAGAACUGGAGAAGGGCAACAACAACCAUAGAACAGCAGCAAUUCAGCAACAAUUACAAAUUCUUCAAUCUCUCAUUCCCAAUUCAAACCAGGUGAUGGACGAGAUGUCUAUAACUGAAGAGGAGCUCCAUGGUAUGAUAAUGGGAACAGCAACAAGGCUUGCCUUAAUACAAUAAACAUGUAUCUAAAACCUGGCCAUGAUUGG